UUGCCCCUUCGCCAAGCGGUAAGGCAUCGGUUUUUGGUACCGACAUGCGCUGGUUCGAAUCCAGCAGGGGCAAUCCA
rnacentral:tRNA from 1 species